rnacentral:rRNA from 1 species
UACGUAGGGGUCUAGCGUUGUCCGGAAUUAUUGGGCGUAAAGAGCUCGUAGGCGGUUCGGCAAGUCGGAUGUGAAAUCUCCACGCUUAACGUGGAGGGGCCAUUCGAAACUGCCGUGACUCGAGUCCGGUAGGGGAGUGCGGAAUUCCCGGUGUAGCGGUGAAAUGCGCAGAUAUCGGGAGGAACACCAGUGGCGAAGGCGGCACUCUGGGCCGGAACUGGACGCUGAGGAGCGAAAAGCGUGGGGAGCGAACAGG